GACAGAGGGUGCAAACGUUGUUCGGAUUUACUGGGCGUAAAGCGCGUGUAGGCGGCUUCGCAAGUUGGAUGUGAAGGCCCACGGCUCAACCGUGGAAGCGCAUCCAAAACUGCGUCGCUCGAGUCUCGGAGAGGAAGGUGGAAUGCUUGGUGUAGAGGUGAAAUUCGUAGAUAUCAAGCAGAACACCUGCGGCGAAGGCGGCCUUCUGGACGAUGACUGACGCUGAGACGCGAAAGCGUGGGGAGCAAACAGG
rnacentral:rRNA from 1 species